UUAGUCGUAGAUUGCUCAAUCCACCAUCGCCCGGGCAACUACGAGCUGAAGCUAAAACCCAAAGGACUUGACGGUACCCCAUAUCCCCCUAGAGGAGCCUGUCCUAUAACCGAUAAUCCCCGUUUAACCUCACCAUUUCUAGCUAAAACAGCCUGUAUACCUCCGUCGUCAGCUCACCGCGUGAGCGUCAGCGAGCCUAAUGUUAAUUCAAUACACGUCAGGUCAAGGUGCAACAUAUGUAAUGGGAAGAGAUGGGCUACACUCUCUAAUUUAGAAUAUACGAAAACUACAUUUGAAAUCUAGUCAAAAGGUGGAUUUAGAAGUAAAACGGAACAAGAGAGUCCUGGGCACAUCUUU
rnacentral:rRNA from 1 species